UGGGGAAUAUUGGACAAUGGGCGAAAGCCUGAUCCAGCCAUGCCGCGUGUGUGAAGAAGGUCUUCGGAUUGUAAAGCACUUUAAGUUGGGAGGAAGGGCAUUAACCUAAUACGUUAGUGUUUUGACGUUACCGACAGAAUAAGCACCGGCUAACUCUGUGCCAGCAGCCGCGGUAAUACAGAGGGUGCAAGCGUUAAUCGGAAUUACUGGGCGUAAAGCGCGCGUAGGUGGUUUGUUAAGUUGGAUGUGAAAUCCCCGGGCUCAACCUGGGAACUGCAUUCAAAACUGACUGACUAGAGGAGUGUAGAGGGUGGUGGAAUUUCCUGUGUAGCGGUGAAAUGCGUAGAUAUAGGAAGGAACACCAGUGGCGAAGGCGACCACCUGGACUAAUACUGACACUGAGGUGCGAAAGCGUGGGGAGCAAACA
rnacentral:rRNA from 1 species